GCACGUUCAACAUUCCCCAGUGGCCUGUGUGGUCUUGCUGUGCCUCAGCCGGGGUCCCGCAACCACAGGUAGUCACGUGGGGCCUUGGAUACUGUGUCAGGCCUGCUGAUGGCCUUGAACCUGCACUUCCAACCUCUGCCUUAGCAGUGGGAUGUCUGAAGGCCCACAGCAGGGCCUCUGGAUUUCUGGCAAGACGACUUUCGUUGCGGAGGAGGAUAAAACCCAAAGAAAUGACAGAACCACAUGGUGGACAAAGCCUGGAUUCCUGUGGGACCGCACAGAGUAGAGACCCCCACUACCUGCACUGACCUGGCACAAGAAAUAAAACCUUUUUGAUUUAAGACAUGGAGAUAACACAGCCUUCCAUGACUGACUAAUGCUAUAUGGUUUCGAUAUCCCAAUUGAGGUUAUUAUUCAGAGUCUCUUUAGUAUCUAAUAUGUCCUAAAGCAAAAAAUUUGCAAGCUCCUGGCAGCAGGCUGGACCUCAAAGACAUUCUCUUUAGUCAGCACAAUGUAAUAAAGAUUUUGAAUUAGUCACAGCA